rnacentral:rRNA from 1 species
UGUAAGCGUAUACCAAAGUUAUUGCAGUUAAAACGCUCGUAGUCGGAAUUUGGCAGUUCCGGAAGUGUGCACGUCGUGUGCGCACUUUGCGGGGACUGCUUUUGUGGUCUUGCGUAGGAUGAGGCACUUUCAUUAGUGAACGUCCUCACGCAACCACUCUUUACUGUGAGAAAAUCAGAGUGCUCAAAGCAGGCAUUUGCCGUGAAUGUAUUAGCAUGGAAUAAUAGAAUAGGACUCGGUUCUAUUUUGUUGGUUUGUUGGGACUGAGUAAUGAUUAAGAGGGACAGUUGGGGGCAUUUGUAUUCCGGCGCUAGAGGUGAAAUUCUUAGAUUGCCGGAAGACAAACUGCUGCGAAAGCGUCUGCCAAGGAUGUUUUCAUUGA